AACGAACGCUGGCGGCAGGCCUAACACAUGCAAGUCGAACGAUCUCUUCGGAGAGAGUGGCGCACGGGUGAGUAACGCGUGGGAAACUACCUUUUGGUACGGAAUAACUUCGGGAAACUGAUGCUAAUACCGUAUGGUCCCUUCGGGGUAAAGAUUUAUCGCCAAAAGAUGUGCCCGCGUCCAAUUAGCUAGAUGGUAGGGUAAAAGCCUACCAUGGCGACGAUUGGUAGCUGGUUUGAGAGGAUGAUCAGCCACACUGGGACUGAGACACGGCCCAG
rnacentral:rRNA from 1 species